GAUGAACGCUGGCGGCGUGCCUAAUACAUGCAAGUCGAGCGAACAGACGAGGAGCUUGCUCCUCUGACGUUAGCGGCGGACGGGUGAGUAACACGUGGAUAACCUACCUAUAAGACUGGGAUAACUUCGGGAAACCGGAGCUAAUACCGGAUAAUAUACUGAACCGCAUGGUUCAAUAGUGAAAGACGGUUUUGCUGUCACUUAUAGAUGGAUCCGCGCCGCAUUAGCUAGUUGGUAAGGUAACGGCUUACCAAGGCAACGAUGCGUAGCCGACCUGAGAGGGUGAUCGGCCACACUGGAACUGAGACACGGUCCAGACUCCUACGGGAGGCAGCAGUAGGGAAUCUUCCGCAAUGGGCGAAAGCUUGACGGAGCAACGCCGCGUGAGUGAUGAAGGUCUUCGGAUCGUAAAACUCUGUUAUUAGGGAAGAACAAAUGUGUAAGUAACUAUGCACGUCUUGACGGUACCUAAUCAGAAAGCCACGGCUAACUACGUG
rnacentral:rRNA from 1 species